rnacentral:rRNA from 1 species
UGGGGAAUAUUGGACAAUGGGCGCAAGCCUGAUCCAGCCAUGCCGCGUGAGUGACGAAGGUCUUCGGAUUGUAAAGCUCUUUUGGCGGGGACGAUAAUGACGGUACCCGCAGAAUAAGCCCCGGCUAACUUCGUGCCAGCAGCCGCGGUAAUACGAAGGGGGCUAGCGUUGUUCGGAAUUACUGGGCGUAAAGCGCACGUAGGCGGAUUUGUGAGUCAGGGGGGAAAUCCCGGGGCUCAACCUCGGAACUGCCUUUGAUACGGCAAGUCUCGAGUCCGGAAGAGGUGAGUGGAAUUCCUAGUGUAGAGGUGAAAUUCGUAGAUAUUAGGAAGAACACCAGUGGCGAAGGCGGCUCACUGGUCCGGUACUGACGCUGAGGUGCGAAAGCGUGGGGAGCAAACA